rnacentral:pre_miRNA from 1 species
CUAUCUUUGCUAAGCCAAGGAUGACUUGCCUAUGUACUCUUGAGAAAUUUUGGUAGUUCGAGAUAAACACAAAAUCUCAAAGUGGAUAAGUAGGCAAGCAUCCUGGCUUUGUUAAGUGGC